GUUUCUUUAAAUCUGGCAAUGGACCAUCAAAGUUGUUCUUCAUAAAGCUUAUAGUUCUCAAAUUAGACAGUAACGCGAGCAAGUCCACAUCAAUGGAACCAUUUAGUCCCAUAUUCUCGACUACAAGUCUGUUACCGUUAAAGUCUGUUAUGGUUACAGUUCUUUCCCAACUUUGAUUCCUUCCGCAACUUUGAUUCCUUUCUAAACUUCAAUUGCUUCAUUAAGAUAAAGUUCAAAUUCAAGUAAGA